rnacentral:rRNA from 1 species
UACGAAGGGGGCGAGCGUUGUUCGGAUUUACUGGGCGUAAAGGGCGCGUAGGCGGCUUUGCGUGUCUUUCGUGAAAUCCCUCGGCUCAACUGAGGACGUGCGGAAGAAACUGCAGGGCUGGAGUCCGGGAGAGGAGGGUGGAAUUCCCAGUGUAGCGGUGAAAUGCGUAGAUAUUGGGAGGAACACCGGUGGCGAAGGCGGCCCUCUGGACCGGUACUGACGCUGAUGCGCGAAAGCGUGGGGAGCAAACGGG